GCCUAUCACCAUUCCAGAUUGAAUAUACCCGAAUUCGUCUGAUCUCGGAAGUCAAGCAAUCUCGGGCUUGGUUAGUACUUGGAUGGGUGACCGCUUGAGAAUACCAAGUGUGAUAAGCA
rfam:Ciona savignyi cont_63044, whole genome shotgun sequence.